AUCAGGGCCAAAAGUCUCAAACCGAAAAAAAAUGAUCUGAAACCGAAAAAAAGAUUUGAAGGCGUAAAAAUGUCAGGGCCCCACCUCCCUGAGUUGUCUCCCCUUCCCUUUCUGUGUGUCUCCCUUGCCUUUGCCCUUUUGUGUCUGUGUUGUUUGUCUCCGUCCGUCUUUUUUUUGUUGUUCCUCAGUUUCCGGAAAUUCCCACUGUCCCUGAAGGCACCAAGGUUGCUGCAAUCAUCUAUUAUCAACUACACCUGCUCCAGUCCACGCACCUGGGGCUGAUUGCCACACUCCCUACAUAAGGGAGAGGUUUGCUUUCAGUCCCCGCCAGAUAAUUGUCUCAGCCAAACGCCGUUCUCCCUCCACUGCCAACCACUGCCUUGCUCUCCGUGUCCCUGGAUUCCCCAGCCUGUUGCCAACUAUUCUCGCCUGCCGUUGUUCCUGCUGAGCCGCUACCAACCCAUACCCUCCCAUAACCUCCUCGACGGAAACACCAUCUACAGUAUUCAUUUUUUUUAUAAUAAACUGUAGUAUUAUCCAUCUCA